rnacentral:tRNA from 1 species
AAAAAAUUAGUUAAAUCUAUAACGUAAGAUUGUCAAUCUUAAAUUAUUUUAUAAAUAUUUUUUA